CAGUAGCCGCGGGAAUACGAAGGGUGCAAGCGUUACUCGGAAUUACUGGGCGUAAAGCGUGCGUAGGUGGUGGUUUAAGUCCGUUGUGAAAGCCCUGGGCUCAACCUGGGAAUUGCAGUGGAUACUGGAUCACUAGAGUGUGGUAGAGGAUAGUGGAAUUUCCGGUGUAGCAGUGAAAUGCGUAGAGAUCGGAAGGAACAUCUGUGGCGAAGGCGACUAUCUGGGCCAACACUGACACUGAGGCACGAAAGCGUGGGGAGCAAACAGGAUUAGAUACCCCAGUAGUCCCUGUCUCUUAUAA
rnacentral:rRNA from 1 species